rnacentral:rRNA from 1 species
UACCACGUUGAAUACGUUCCCGGGUCUUGUACACACCGCCCGUCACACCACGAAAGUUGGGGGGUACCCGAAGUGCUUAUUUUUGAGCCCUAAGGUAAACUCAGCGAUUGGGGUG